AUACGUAGGGAGCGAGCGUUGUCCGGAAUUACUGGGUGUAAAGGGUGCGUAGGCGGGACGGCAAGUCAGAUGUGAAAUACCGGGGCUCAACCCCGGAGCUGCAUUUGAAACUGUGGUUCUUGAGUGAGGUAGAGGUAAGCGGAAUUCCUAGUGUAGCGGUGAAAUGCGUAGAUAUUAGGAGGAACAUCGGUGGCGAAGGCGGCUUACUGGGCCUUUACUGACGCUGAGGCACGAAAGCGUGGGGAGCAAACAGGAUUAGAUACCCUGGUAGUCCACGCUGUAAACGAUGAUGACUAGGUGUGGGGGGACUGAACCCUUCCGUGCCGCAGUUAACACAAUAAGUCAUCCACCUGGGGAGUACGGCCGCAAGGUUGAAACUCAAAUGAAUUGACGGGG
rnacentral:rRNA from 1 species